rnacentral:rRNA from 1 species
UACGUAGGGUCCGAGCGUUGUCCGGAAUUACUGGGCGUAAAGCGCGCGCAGGCGGCCCGCGAGGUGUCACGUGAAAGCCCCGGGCUCAACCCGGGAGGGUCGUGGCAAACCGGCGGGCUUGAGGCCGGUAGAGGUGGGUGGAACUCCUGGUGGAGUGGUGAAAUGCGUAGAGAUCAGGAGGAACACCGGUGGCGAAGGCGGGUCUCUGGGCAGUAACUGACGCUGAGGAGCGAAAGCGUGGGGAGCGAACAGG